rnacentral:rRNA from 1 species
AGAGUUUGAUCCUGGCUCAGAGUGAUCGCUGGCGGCGUGCUUAACACAUGCAAGUCGAGCGAAUUUCUGCAGUGUAUCGCAGGAGUUAGCGGCAGACGGGUGAGUAAUACUUGGGCAAUCUACCCUCGAGUGGGAAACAACCGGCCGAAAGGCUGGCUGAUGUCCCAUAAGACCACAGGAGCGCAUGCUCUAGGGGUCAAAGCUCCGCAAGGGGCGCUGGAGGAGGAGCCCGAGUCCUAUCAUGGUAGUUGGUGAGGUAACGGCUCACCAAGCCUUUGACGGGUAGCCGGCCUGAAAGGGUGAUCGGCCACACUGGCACUGAGACACGGGCCAGACUCCUACGGGAGGCAGCAGUGGGGAAUUUUGGACAAUGGGGGCAACCCUGAUCCAGCGACGCCGCGUGAAGGAUGAAGGUCUUCGGAUUGUAAACUUCUUUUGGAGGGGAUGAAUGUCUGCGUGAAUAACGCAGAGUGACAGUACUCUCUGAAUAAGCCACGGCUAACUACGUGCCAGCAGCCGCGGUAAUACGUAGGUGGCAAGCGAUACUCGGAAUCACUAGGCGUAAAGCGCAGGUAGGCGGUUCGGUAAGUCUUUUGUGAAAGCUCCCGGCUCAACUGGGAGAGGUCAAGGGAAACUACCGGACUAGAGUGUGGUAGGGGAUACUGGAAUUCCUGGUGUAGCGGUGAAAUGCGUAGAUAUCAGGAGGAAUACCUAUGGCGAAAGCAGGUAUCUGGGCCAUCACUGACGCUGAGCUGCGAAAGCUAGGGGAGCAAACAGGAUUAGAUACCCUGGUAGUCCUAGCCCUAAACGAUGCUCAUUAGAUGUGGGAGGUAUCGACCCCUUCCGCGUCGCAGCUAACGCAUUAAAUGAGCCGCCUGGGGAGUACGGCCGCAAGGUUGAAACUCAAAGGAAUUGACGGGGGCCCGCACAAGCGGUGGAACAUGUGGUUUAAUUCGACGCAACGCGAAGAACCUUACCUGGGCUUGAACUACUCGUGGUAAGCCGAUGGAAACAUUGGCUGACCCGCAAGGGAGCGAGCAGAGGUGCUGCAUGGUUGUCGUCAGCUCGUGUCGUGAGAUGUUGGGUUAAGUCCCGCAACGAGCGCAACCCCUAUCCAAUGUUGCCAUCAGGUAACGCUGGGAACUCUAGUGGAACUGCCGUCGUAAGACGUGAGGAAGGAGGGGAUGAUGUCAAGUCAUCAUGGCCUUUAUGCCCAGGGCUACACACGUGCUACAAUGGGGCGUACAAAGGGCUGCAACAUAGUGAUAUGAAGCUAAUCCCAAAAAACGCCUCUCAGUUCAGAUUGGAGUCUGCAACUCGACUCCAUGAAGCUGGAAUCGCUAGUAAUCGUAGAUCAGCAACGCUACGGUGAAUACGUUCCCGGACCUUGCACACACCGCCCGUCAAGCCAUGGAAGCCGGGUGUACCUAAAGUCGGUAACCGUAAGGAGCCGCCUAGGGUAAAACUGGUGACUGGGGC